UGAGAAAACCCUCUGGUAUGGUCAGAUGAAAUAUCAAAUAAAGAAAUUAGUUUUGCUUAAUUCACAUGACUGGACGUGACAGUGCUUUUUUUAUAUAUAUAUCUCCCAAGUUACAAACAACAAAAGCUUUGUACUCCCAAAUUGGAGCCAGCAUGCUCACUUUUGGAUUUUGUUUUUAUUUUGUUUUCUGGUCAUCAAUAAGCCUUUUGCUUUGAAAAAAAUCUCCAGUUUAAGUGUUUAUAUUUUUAUGUUUAAAUUUUUAUUGUUGUUUAGUGCAGAAAGCAAGGCCUGGUUAUUGAUCACCUAUUUGGAGAUUUUGGUAUAGCUACUGACUGAAUUUAUUUACUCGCCUUACUUUUCCAUGAACAUUCUCAGUAGCCUUUGACCCUUUUUUUGAGGGUAAAAUAAAUGCGAUGAACACAACAACAAUAGGUGUGGUGGGUUGUUUGUAACACUGAACUGAGGCAAUGACAGCCCUCCCGUUGCCCCACCCCCGCUGUUCCAUGCCAUUAGGAGCGAGGUUUUUCAAUUGUUUUGGCUUGUCUACGCAGCCUUUUCGGGUUCAGUUGCAAAUUGGAAGGAGUCUGUAACCUUGUCCUCGUACAAAUAUCUUUAAACGAAAAUAAACCAUUAAUUUCCAAAUUGUUCCGUGGUCAAAAUGGCAGUUACAGAAACAGCCGUAUGAGUAUCAAUGCUCAGGAAUGCAAUAGCGUGCCCUCAAGUGGUGGGAUGCAGUCUCAAUAGGCCUCUACAGUAAAGAAUUCCAUUGAUUCAGAACCCUACGAGACAAGAAAUUCCACCUCAUCUGUGUGCAGAUCUACCCUG